AUCCGCUCAUCUCUCUCACAUUUCCUCUCAAUCUCUCCCCAAAUCCGCUCAUCUCUCUCACCGAAUCCCCCCUCCCUCUCCCCAGAUCCUCUCAAUCUCUCCCCAAAUCUGCUCAUCUCUCUCACCGAAUCUGUGCAUCCUCCUCCGACGAGAUCAGCCCUCUGAGCCGCCGCUUUCUCGAACGUCGUGCUGCUGAUCUCGCCAUCAUCACUCUCGUCGUCAUCCUCCCUCGGACUCGUCCUCAUCCUCCCUCGGACUCGUCGUCAUCACUCUCGUCGUCGUGCUGCUGAUCUCGCCGUCGAUCUGGUGUUGAUCUCGCCGUCGAUCUGGUGCUGAUCUCGUCGUCCUAAGCCAGAGUUCGUGAGCCAGAUCCGCUCAUCCUCCUCCGUCCUCCUCCCUCUGAGCCGACGCGGUCUCAAGUUCUACUCCGGCUAUCCUCUCUCUGCCGUGAAUCAUGGAGUCAUCUUCAAGCAAUCGUCAUGGACUGUUGCGUCAUUGUGGAAGGAGGGCUAUACUCUCUAGAUCUGGAACUAAGACGAACCCUGGUCGAUUGUUUUUGGGAUGCGCUAAUUGGAAAGUGAGUAAUUAUGGAUUCUUCAAAUGGGUAUCUGAUGAAGAGGAGUUUGAAGGUUCAAAGACAGGGCUUGUUCAGACAAAGCUGUCGAGCGUGAGGCCGCAAGUUUCAAGAGGCGUGUCAAGUGGAGAAUUGCGGGAAAAGAGAAAGAUUGACAUUGAUAUUAUGGAUUUGUUGAAGCUUGUUGUAUUUGCUCUUUUAUUUGGUAUUUUUCUUGGAUUUGUAUUUGGUAUUUUUAUUGGAUUUGUGCUAAGUAGAGUGUAAGAAUGUAUUAUCCUUCUUUGUGGAAGUGUAUGUUGAUGAGAA